rnacentral:snRNA from 1 species
AGAAAUGCAAAAUGUCUGGCAUAGACAUCUGCCACCACGUCGACCUCGGGGUUAUCUUGGCAGCUCUGCUGGGAACGGCAGGUGUCUGCAUCUUUCUUCAAAACUCCAAGUUGGUCUUUCCAUAUCUGUAGUUUCUAUGAAGAUGUCAAUCGUCCCACAGAGAGGAGGCUGUUUUUAAAUUAAGGUUAUAGGAAGAGGAGGGGAGCUUUAUAGAGUUUCUAAAACCAGAGUUCAAAGCCCGUAAAAAGUAUGUUGAUUUUCCCCUAUUUCUGGAAAAUUAACUAUAGAUGGUAGGUUGUUU